UCAAUGUCGUAAAAACUGGAUUUUUCUGAACAAGAAAUGUUACUUCUUUUCUGAAGAGAAAAAUAUUCAAGAAGAAGGUGAGAAAAAUUGCAUCGCGUUGGGCACACGACUGGCAGCAAUGACAGAAGAUGACACCACGCUACAGAGGAUUCUCACUGUGAUUGAAAAGGAUUUUUGGAUCAAGGCGGUAAUAAAUACCAAUGUGGAGAAUAUGAAAGAUAUGGAUAAAUGUGCAAAGUUUGGGGGCCGUUUGAAGAUUGAUAACUGCACCUCAAUCAUGCGUUGGAUCUGUGAGACCGAACCAGAGUAACGGAAUUUGUUCCAGAUCAUUCUUUGGGAUAUAAUCAAUGUUAGUUAUUCGAAUUCUAUAUCCUAAGAAAGCCAAACUGUGUGAUAAAAAUCCUGGAAAUGUAUCUUUAUUUGGGGAGGGAAGGAGAGUCAUUAAUUUCUCUGCAGUAAAGAGACAGUAUGGAACUCUGUACAUAAUAAAACACAUAACAAAUUA